rnacentral:piRNA from 1 species
UAUUACAGUGCUCGACGAUUGGAACUAU